GAUGAAGAACGUAGCGAAACGCGAUAUGUAAUGUGAAUUGCAGAAUUCAGUGAAUCAUCGAAUCUUUGAACGCACAUGGCGCCUUCCAGUAUCCUGGGAGGCAUGCCUGUCCGAGCGUCGUUUCAACCCUCGAGCCCUCGUGGCCCGGCGUUGGGGAUCUGCCACGGCAGGCCCCGAAAUACAGUGGCGGACCCGUUAGGCCCUUCCUUUGCGUAGUACCAUCAGCCUCGCAUCGGGAGCCGGCGGGCUCUCCUGCCUCUAAACCCCCCAACAAGCCCGCUCCGGCGGCACCAAGGUUGACCUCGGAUCAGGUAGCAAUACCCGCUGAACUUAAGCAUAUCAAUAAGCGGAGGA
rnacentral:misc_RNA from 1 species